GUGAGGUAGUGGCUCACCAAGGCAACGACGGGUAGCUGGUCUGAGAGGACGAUCAGCCACACUGGGACUGAGACACGGCCCAGACUCCUACGGGAGGCAGCAGCAGGGAAUAUUGCACAAUGGGCGCAAGCCUGAUGCAGCGACGCCGCGUGAGGGAUGAAGGCCUUCGGGUUGUAAACCUCUUUCAGGAGGGACGAAGCGCAAGUGACGGUACCUCCAGAAGAAGCCCCGGCCAACUACGUGCCAGCAGCCGCGGUAAUACGUAGGGGGCGAGCGUUGUCCGGAUUCAUUGGGCGUAAAGAGCUCGUAGGCGGCUCAGUAAGUCGGCCGUGAAAGCCCAGGGCUCAACCCUGGGAGGCCGGUCGAUACUGCUGUGGCUAGGGUCCGGUAGAGGAGAGUGGAAUUCCCGGUGUAGCGGUGAAAUGCGCAGAUAUCGGGAGGAACACCAGUAGCGAAGGCGGCUCUCUGGGCCGGUACCGACGCUGAGGAGCGAAAGCUAGGGGAGCAAACAGGAUUAGAUACCCUGGUAGUCCUAGCCGUAAACGUUGGGCACUAGGUGUGGCGGAUUCAUUGACAUCUGCCGUGCCGUAGCUAACGCAUUAAGUG
rnacentral:rRNA from 1 species